AUAUCGCGACGUAGUUGACUCCGUCGCUCAGACGACGCUGGCGGCGUGCCUAACACAUGCAAGUCGAACGGACGAGACUUCUUCGGAAGUCAAGUUAGUGGCGGACGGGUGAGUAACGCGUGAGUAACCUGCCUUGCAGAGGGGGAUAACGUUUCGAAAGGAACGCUAAUACCGCAUAAUGUAUCUGAUAUCGCAUGGUAUUGAUACCAAAGAUUUUAUCGCUGUAAGAUGGACCCGCGUCUGAUUAGCUAGUUGGUAAGGUAACGGCUUACCAAGGCGACGAUCAGUAGCCGGCCUGAGAGGGUGAUCGGCCACAUUGGGACUGAGACACGGCCCAAACUCCUACGGGAGGCAGCAGUGGGGAAUAUUGCACAAUGGGGGAAACCCUGAUGCAGCAACGCCGCGUGAAGGAUGGCGUAUUUCGGUAUGUAAACUUCUAUCAGCAAGGAAGAUGAUGACGGUACUUGACUAAGAAGCCCCGGCUAACUACGUG
rnacentral:rRNA from 1 species